UACGUAGGGGGCGAGCGUUGUCCGGAUUUAUUGGGCGUAAAGAGCGUGUAGGCGGCCAGGUAGGUCGGUUGUGAAAACUGGAGGCUUAACCUUCAGACGUCGACCGAAACCAUCUGGCUAGAGUCCGGAAGAGGAGAGUGGAAUUCCCGGUGUAGCGGUGAAAUGCGCAGAUAUCGGGAAGAACACCCGUGGCGAAAGCGGCUCUCUGGAACGGUACUGACGCUGAGACGCGAAAGCGUGGGGAGCGAACAGG
rnacentral:rRNA from 1 species